UACGUAGGUGACAAGCGUUGUCCGGAUUUACUGGGCGUAAAGAGCGCGCAGGCGGUCGAUCAAGUCGAGUGUGAAAGCCCCCGGCUCAACUGGGGAGGGUCAUUCGAUACUGAUCGACUCGAAGGCAGGAGAGGGUAGUGGAAUUCCCGGUGUAGUGGUGAAAUGCGUAGAUAUCUGGAGGAACAUCAGUGGCGAAGGCGACACCCUGGACUCAUACUGACACUGAGGUGCGAAAGCGUGGGGAGCAAACAGG
rnacentral:rRNA from 1 species